GACGUAGGGCGCAAGCGUUGUCCGGAAUUAUUGGGCGUAAAGAGCUCGUAGGCGGCUUGUUGCGUCGACUGUGAAAAACCACGACUCAACCGUGGGACUGCAGUCGAUACGGGCAGGCUAGAGUUCGGUAGGGGAGACUGGAAUUCCUGGUGUAGCGGUGAAAUGCGCAGAUAUCAGGAGGAACACCGGUGGCGAAGGCGGGUCUCUGGGACGUUACUGACGCUGAGACGCGAAAGCGUGGGGAGCAAACAGG
rnacentral:rRNA from 1 species